rnacentral:rRNA from 1 species
AUACGGGGGGUGCAAGCGUUGUUCGGAUUUACUGGGCGUAAAGGGCGCGUACGCGUUUCGCUAAGUCGGAUGUGAAAACUCCCGGCUCAACCGGGAGCCUGCAUCCGAUACUGGCGGGCUAGAGUGCGAGAGGGGAAAGCGGAAUUCCUGGUGUAGCGGUGAAAUGCGUAAAUAUCAGGAGGAACACCGGCGGCGAAGGCGGCUUUCUGGAUCGCAACUGACGCUGAGGCGCGAAAGCUAGGGGAGCAAACAGGAUUAGAUACCCUGGUAGUCCUAUCCCUAAACGAUGGAUACUUGGUGUGGGGGGGUUGAAUC